AGUCGAUCUCAUUUCUCCCUGGAAAUGUCGACGUUGCUCAAAAAGUCGAUCUCAUCUUUUUCUGAGGAUGUCGAUGUGUCUGCCGAUCCUUUUCUGAAGAUGUCGGAUUUUUGACUACAAGUCGAUUUCAUUUCUCCCUGGAAAUGUCGAUGUUACUCAAAAAGUCGAUCUCAUCUUUUUCUGAGGAUGUCGAUGACUGCCGAUCCUUUUCUGAAGAUGUCGGAUUUUUGACAACGAGUCGAUCUCAUUUCUCCCUGGAAAUGUCGACGUUGCUCAAAAAGUCGAUCUCAUCUUUUUCUGAGGAUGUCGAU
rnacentral:lncRNA from 1 species